UACGUAGGGUGCGAGCGUUGUCCGGAAUUAUUGGGCGUAAAGAGCUCGUAGGCGGUCUGUCGCGUCGGUCGUGAAAACUUGGGGCUUAACCCUGAGCUUGCGGUCGAUACGGGCAUGACUGGAGUUCGGCAGGGGAGAACGGAAUUCCUGGUGUAGCGGUGAAAUGCGCAGAUAUCAGGAGGAACACCGGUGGCGAAGGCGGUUCUCUGGGCCUUACCUGACGCUGAGACGCGAAAGCGUGGGGAGCGAACCGG
rnacentral:rRNA from 1 species